ACCUUCCGAUCUUCCAUACUCCAAACUUGAACUAAAUCAUCUUCACCUCCAGUCAAAAUGUAUUUGCCAUCCAUGCUCCAAGCACAACAUAGUAGAGCACCGUAAUAACUUUUCCCACCACAUACAAGUUGUUCCCUGGAAUAGUCAAAAACUCGUAAAUAACCGUCUCUUCCAACAGUUGCUAAGUAGGCCCCAUCUGUUGAGAAAGUGAUGCUAUUAAUUGAACCUUGGCAAAUAUGCCAUCUGGC
rnacentral:misc_RNA from 1 species